rnacentral:tRNA from 1 species
GAGGGUAAAGCUCAGUGGUAGAGCGCGUGCUUAGCAUGCACAAGGUCCGGGGUUCAAUCCCCAGUGCCUCCA